AGGCUGGGGAAUGAGGCAAUAGAAAUCAGCCUUGUGGAAGAGGAGUUCUGGUGGAUGAGAAGCUGGAUGUGAGCAGACUGUGUACACUUUGCAGCUCAGAAGGCAAAUGGCAGCCUGGGCUGCAUCCAAAGCAGCAGGACCAGCAGAUGGAGAGAGGGCAUUCUGCCAAUUUACUCUGCUCUGAUCUCUGAAGAGCUGAGUCGUGAGUUUGCUCCUCCAGCUGUCUGACAUCUAUUUAAAAAGACCUCUAGAAACCACUCAACGAAUUGCUAAUGUGCAGUGGGAGGAAAAAGCCUCCAGAAGCCUUGCAAGUGCAAGAUCACAGAGCACUUAGAAGAGCAGCAGCACAGUUUCCCCUUCGGCAAAGGGCUUGGAAAUCUGGAUGUCUGCCUGAGGCUUAUUUGGUGUUGGGAACCCUUUCCCAGCUGACUCAACUGAGUGGAAAGAGUGGAGGACAGGAGCUUCCUAACCAGAAGGAGCAUAUUUUGGAUGCUGUGUCCUGGAGUAACAAGUAGCAGGACCAGAGCAAAUGGCCUCAAGUUUUACCGGGGAGAACAUGAUGAUAAGCCAGAAAGGUGAGGAAGAGCUCUCUGUGCUUGCAGGGAAUAGCAGUUAAGCAGCUGAACUCUUCUCUGUGCCAUUGUCAGAUGUCCCUGUCCCCAUGGCAGAUCACAGUACAGUGCUUUUGUUAUCACAGCACCAAGUGGAGCACAUUGAAA